UACGGGGGUGGCAAGCGUUGUUCGGAAUUACUGGGCGUAAAGGGCGCGUAGGCGGGGAGGUAAGUCGGGUGUGAAAUCCCUCGGCUCAACCGAGGACGUGCAUCCGAAACUGCGGAGCUUGAGUAUGGAAGAGGGUCGCGGAAUCCCCGGUGUAGAGGUGAAAUUCGUAGAUAUCGGGGGGAACACCAGUGGCGAAGGCGGCGACCUGGGCCAAUACUGACGCUGAGGUGCGAAAGCGUGGGAAGCAAACAGG
rnacentral:rRNA from 1 species